UACGUAGGCAGCGCGCGUUGUUCGGAGUUACUGGGCGUAAAGGGUGUGUAGGCGGUUGUUUAAGUUUGGUGUGAAAUCUCCCGGCUCAACUGGGAGGGUGCGCCGAAUACUGAAUGACUUGGAGUGCGGGAGAGGAGAGUGGAAUUCCUGGUGUAGCGGUGAAAUGCGUAGAUAUCAGGAGGAACACCGGUGGUGUAGACGGCUCUCUGGACCGUAACUGACGCUGAGACACGAAAGCGUGGGUAGCAAACAGG
rnacentral:rRNA from 1 species